rnacentral:rRNA from 1 species
GUGCAGGAUAGGUAGGAGACUUUGAAGUCGGAACGCUAGUUUCGAUUGAGUCACCCUUGAGAUACUACCUCUGUUGUAUGAACGUUCUAACUCUGAUCAGUUAUCCUGAUCGAAGACAGUGUCUGGCAGGCAGUUUGACUGGGGCGGUCGCCUCCUAAAAGAUAACGGAGGCGCUCAAAGGUUUGCUCAGAAUGGUUGGAAAUCAUUCGUAGCGUGUAAAGGCAUAAGCAAGCUUGACUGUGAGACUGACAAGUCGAGCAGGUACGAAAGUAGGACUUAGUGAUCCGGUGGUUCCGUAUGGAAGGGCCAUCGCUCAACGGACAAAAGCUACCCCGGGGAUAACAGGCUCAUCUCCCCCAAGAGUCCACAUCGACGGGGAGGUUUGGCACCUCGAUGUCGGCUCAUCGCAUCCUGGGGCUGUAGUCGGUCCCAAGGGUUGGGCUGUUCGCCCAUUAAAGCGGUACGCGAGCUGGGUUCAGAACGUCGUGAGACAGUUCGGUCCCUAUCCGUCGUGGGCGCAGGAAAUUUGAGAGGAUCUGUCCUUAGUACGAGAGGACCGGGAUGGACAUACCUCUGGUGUACCAGUUGUUCUGCCAAGAGCACCGCUGGGUAGCUACGUAUGGAUUAGAUAAUCGCUGAAAGCAUCUAAGUGAGAAACUAACCUCGAGAUGAGAUUUCCCAUUCGUCAGAAGUAAGACCCCUGAGAGACGAUCAGGUAGAUAGGCUAGAAGUGGAAGUGUAGUGA